rnacentral:rRNA from 1 species
UGGGGAAUAUUGCACAAUGGGCGCAAGCCUGAUGCAGCCAUGCCGCGUGUAUGAAGAAGGCCUUCGGGUUGUAAAGUACUUUCAGCGGGGAGGAAGGGAGUAAAGUUAAUACCUUUGCUCAUUGACGUUACCCGCAGAAGAAGCACCGGCUAACUCCGUGCCAGCAGCCGCGGUAAUACGGAGGGUGCAAGCGUUAAUCGGAUUUAUUGGGCGUAAAGCGAGCGCAGGCGGUUUCUUAAGUCUGAUGUGAAAGCCCCCGGCUCAACCGGGGAGGGUCAUUGGAAACUGGGAGACUUGAGUGCAGAAGAGGAGAGGGGAAUUCCAUGUGUAGCGGUGAAAUGCGUAGAUAUAUGGAGGAACACCAGUGGCGAAGGCGGCUCUCUGGUCUGUAACUGACGCUGAGGCUCGAAAGCGUGGGGAGCAAACAGG